AAUAGAUACCCAGGUAGUCCACGCCGUAAACGGUGGGCACUAGGUGUGGGCAACAUUCCACGUUGUCCGUGCCGCAGCUAACGCAUUAAGUGCCCCGCCUGGGGAGUACGGCCGCAAGGCUAAAACUCAAAGGAAUUGACGGGGGGCCCGCACAAGCAGCGGAGCAUGUGGCUUAAUUCGACGCAACGCGAAGAACCUUACCAAGGCUUGACAUACACCGGAAACGGCCAGAGAUGGUCGCCCCCUUGUGGUCGGUGUACAGGUGGUGCAUGGCUGUCGUCAGCUCGUGUCGUGAGAUGUUGGGUUAAGUCCCGCAACGAGCGCAACCCUUGUCCCGUGUUGCCAGCAAGCCCUUCGGGGUGUUGGGGACUCACGGGAGACCGCCGGGGUCGAACUCGGAGGAAGGUGGGGACGGACGUCAAGUCAUCAUGCCCCUUAUGUCUUGGGCUGCACACGUGCUACAAUGGCCGGUACAAUGAGCUGCGAUACCGCGAGGUGGAGCGAAUCUCAAAACGCCGGUCUCAGUUCAGAUUGGGGU
rnacentral:rRNA from 1 species